rnacentral:rRNA from 1 species
CAGUCGCCGCGGGAAUACGGAGGGUGCAAGCGUUAAUCGGAAUUACUGGGCGUAAAGCGCACGCAGGCGGUCUGUCAAGUCAGAUGUGAAAUCCCCGGGCUUAACCUGGGAACUGCAUUUGAAACUGGCAGGCUAGAGUCUUGUAGAGGGGGGUAGAAUUCCAGGUGUAGCGGUGAAAUGCGUAGAGAUCUGGAGGAAUACCGGUGGCGAAGGCGGCCCCCUGGACAAAGACUGACGCUCAGGUGCGAAAGCGUGGGGAGCAAACAGGAUUAGAUACCCCGGUAGUCCCUGUCUCUUAUAA